UACGUAGGGGGCAAGCGUUGUCCGGAUUUAUUGGGCGUAAAGAGCGCGCAGGCGGUCGUUCAAGUCGGAUGUGAAAGCCCCCGGCUCAACUGGGGAGGGUCAUUCGAUACUGAUCGACUCGAAGGCAGGAGAGGGAAGCGGAAUUCCCGGUGUAGUGGUGAAAUGCGUAGAUAUCGGGAGGAACACCAGUGGCGAAGGCGGCUUCCUGGCCUGUUCUUGACGCUGAGGCGCGAAAGCUAGGGGAGCAAACGGG
rnacentral:rRNA from 1 species